AGGAUUUCAGCUUAAUUUAAAGGAAGAUCACGUGUCUCUACUUCAAAGGAGGAGUGUGUCAACACCUGUUGGUGUACACUUUGGAUGGUAUGCCGUAGAUGAUGAUGAAGCAGAGACAAGAAUAUAGGAUAUUCCAUGUAUGAGGUGUGAUAUGGCAAAUGUAUUGGGGUUGUUAACAUGUUUAUGAGUAAGCUUGGGAUGGUUCAUUGGACUGCGAUUAUGGGUAUUGAGAUACUCAUGGGAACACAAGAUCAUAGACUAUGCUUCAUAGAAGAAUGAAGUGUUUAAGGUUGAAAGAAUUUUGUG
rnacentral:lncRNA from 1 species